AGAGAUCAUGUGUAACAGUGGUCGAUCUGGCUCAGAUUAACGCCAGGAUGCUUUACACAUGCAAGUCGAACGGCAGCACGGACUUCGGUCUGGUGGCGAGUGGCGAAACGGGUGAGUACGACGUGGAACGUGCCUAGUAGCGGGGAUAACUACGCGAAAUCGAAGCAUUACCGCAUAUUGCCCUUCGGGGGAAAUGGGGACUUUCGCCUCGCACUAUUAGAGCGGGCCGAUAUUUGAUUAGCGUUUGUGGUAAUGUCGAACAAGGCGACGAUCCGUAGCUGUUUGAGAGACGACCAGCCAUACUGGGACUGAGACACGGCCCAGACUCCUACGGACAGCAGUGGGGAAUUUUGGACAAUGGGGAAAUCCCUGAUCCAGCCAUCUCGGCAAAAGAUGAAGGCUUCAAGUUGUAAAGACUUUGGCAGGAAAGAAACGGCACGGGAUAAUACCCCGUGCAACUGACGGUACUCUGCAGAAUAAGCACUUACAACUGGUCAAAAGCCAGCAGCCGGCAAUAUUAUAGAAAAAGCGUUAAUCGAACAUUGGGCGUAAAGCGUGCGCAGGCGGUUCGGAAAGAAAGAUGUGAAAUCCAGAGCUUAACUUUGAAAUCUGUAUUUCUUAGUCCAUUUGCUUUUCAGAGUGUGUCAGAGGAGGGGGAAUUUCCGCGUGUAGCAGUGAAAUGCGUAGAUAUGCGGAGGAACACUGAUGGCGAAGGUAGCCUGGGAUAAUACUUGACGCUCAUAUCAGUGGGAGUAAAAACAGGAUUAGAUACCCCGUAGUCCACGCCCAACGAGUCAACUAGCUGUUAGCCUUCGGGCCUUGGUAGCGCAGCUUAACGCGUGAAGUUGACCGCCUGGGGAGUACGGUCGCAAGAUUAAAAACCCGUAUGAAUUGACGGGGACCCGCACAAGCGGUGGAUGAUGGGACAAUUGAUGCAACGCGAAAACCUUACCUACCUUUGAUGAUGUCUUUGGAAUCCCGAAGAGAUUUGGGAGUGUCGCAAGAGAACCGGAACACAGGUGCUGCAUGGCUGUCGUGUCACUGUGUCGUGAGAUGUUGGGUUAAGUCCCGCAACGAGCGCAACCCUUUUACCAUGAAGCUGCUACGAAAGGGGCACUCUAAUGAGACUGCCGGUGACAAACCGGAGUGAAGGUGGGAUGACGUCAAGUCCUCGCGGGUCUUUGCGGGUAGGGUCGGCACGUCAUACAAUGGUCGGGACAGAGGUCGCCAACCCGCGAGGGGAGCUCAAUCCCAGAAACCCGAUCGUAGUCCGGAUCGCAGUCUGCAACUCGACUGCGUGAAGUCGGAAUCGCUAGUGUACCGGAUCAGCAUGUCGCGGUGAAUACGUUCCUGGUCUUGUACACACCGCCCGUCACACCAUGGGAGUGGGUUUCUACCAGAAGUAGUUAGCCUAACCGUAAGGAGGGCGAUUACCACGGUAGGAUUCAUGAUCAGUGAAGUCGUAACAAGGUAA
rnacentral:rRNA from 1 species